UCUAUGCCGCCAUACACGGGGACAAAAAGCUUUGCUCGGCUGAGAGAUCAUAUGAAGAAAAAAAAUGGAAAAACACCUUCUCGCUUAGAGCUUUUUCUUGAAUCCAGAAAGAGAAAGCAAGGCAAAGAAAUUGAUCCAAUAUCACAAGAAGCCAUUGAAAAGUUUCAGCAACUAAAGAAACAACGAGAAGAAGGACAAAUUUCACUGGAUGAUGAUGCUAUGUUUGCUGAUGUACUU